rnacentral:lncRNA from 1 species
CUUUCUCCAGCCCUCUUUAUUUUAAAAAUAAGGAAACUGAGAUAAAUUAAUUGGACCAAGAUCGCACAUAGAGUCAUCCCUUAUAACAAAGGAUUUUUAAAAGAGAAACAAGAGGCAAUCUUCCUAAUGAGCAUUGAUGCCAAAAUUUGA